rnacentral:rRNA from 1 species
GUAUACAGCCAUGCUACUCUGAACUAGCCCGAUCCCAUCUGAUCUCUGAAGCUAAGCAGAGUCGGGCCUGGUUCCUAUUUGGAUAGGAGACCACCUAGGAAUACCAGGUGCUGUAGGCA